rnacentral:ncRNA from 1 species
CUGUCGACAGUGUGAGGACUGACGAAGCUGCAAUAUGAAUCCACAGAUGAGUUGUCUGGAGCAAACGACCGCGUAAGCAUCGCGUCAUGGAGGCGGAGCAGGAGCGUGCACGAUAAGACCUAAAAGAUGGUGAACUAUGCUUGCGUAGGCUGAAGCCAGAGGAAAAUCUAGUGGAGGACCACAGCGAUUCUGAUGUGCAAAUCGAUUGCCAAACGUGAGUAUAGGGGGCGAAAGACUAAUCGAACCAUCUAGUAGCUGGUUGUCCCCGAAGAUUCCCUCAGGAUAGCUGGCACCCAUUUGCAUGAUCAAUUUUAUCCGAGAAAGCGAUUGCUUAAAGGUACUGGUUUCGAAACGAGCUCAACCGGCUCGCUUUAUAGGAGUCGGGCGCUGAAUGUGCGGGUGCCAAGUAGGCCAUUUUUGGUAAGCAGAACUGGCGCUGUGGGAUGGACCAAACGCUCAAAUUCCGUUCACCACCAUUCUAACACAUGUAAAUGUUUGGAUUAAAAAUUCGAUUGGGCGACGUCUAGAGCCAUGACGUGUC